UACAGAGGUCCCGAGCGUUGUUCGGAUUCACUGGGCGUAAAGCGCGUGUAGGCGGCCAGAAAAGUCCGCUGUGAAAACUCGAGGCUCAACUUCGAGCUGUCGGUGGAAACUUUCUGGCUAGAGUCCGGAAGAGGAGAAUGGAAUUCCUGGUGUAGCGGUGAAAUGCGCAGAUAUCAGGAAGAACACCCGUGGCGAAGGCGGUUCUCUGGGACGGUACUGACGCUGAGACGCGAAAGCGUGGGGAGCGAACAGG
rnacentral:rRNA from 1 species